CACUGUUUUGUGGUUUGCAGCAUGAACACAUUAACCAUUAGAUUUGAUCCAGCUUCUAAAUUCACUUCUGAGCUGCUGUGUAAUCAGAGCUCCCACGCAGAGACGCUUUGGACGGGAUGAAGACCAACAGGAGCUUCCAAGAUACGUCCUCGGGGCCUCGGUGUUGGGGGUCUUCGGUGGGGCUGACCGUGUGUACAUGUGGCAGAGGCAAACAACAGCUGGCUUUCAGUUUCUGAAAGGAUUUUGAAGAGAUGCACAGGAGAAAGCUGCCCUAUGGAUCCAGGUUAACGGGCCAGUCAGCAGGGUCUCCUCCAGUGAACUUACUUCAUCCAAGAGGAAUGCGUGUGUUGCAGGCUCACACACAACAAUGCACGCACACACACACACACACACACGCGCGCGCGCGCGAAUGCAAUGCAAAGCCAAAGAUGUUCACGCACAUUCAGGCAGCUGUCUUUGGAAGUGAACUAUCUGGCAGCAGCAGGUGGCUUCUAAAUACUUACUGGAAUCGCAGUCAUUCACUGACCAAGGCUGCAUAGCUGAAAAGCGUUUGUCACCAAAGCUUUUUUAAAUUAAUUUGUUCCGAGAAAAGCCCUUGACCUGGUCAGUUUAAUAUUCAUGGUUGAGAUUCAAGCACAAAGGUGCACUUCCAGAGGAUUCCUGAAAUGGGCAUGUGAAGGGGAAAGCACAGCAACAAGGUGGACAACAGGUGGAGUCACGCCAAGUCCACACAUAAAGGCCAACUGGAGUUAAGCAGUGAUCUCCAUGGUGGGUUUCCAUACGUUCAUCCCGUGUUACACGUUAACUCAACAGAACAUACUAAAGCUGUCCUUAAAGCAUGCUGGGACUGCUUCCAGCUGUGCUAAUCGACCUAAAUAUGAUCAGGGCAAUGUUUAUGCAGUAGAUGAAUAAAUGGACUGAUGGGCUUAAAGCAGUUACAUAACAUGUAUGUGAUGACAUAUGUGAGGUUGGACUGAAAUCGAUCCAUGUACUUAAUUUAGACUCUGAACAUUUCAAGCCUGAGGAAAUAAAAAACAUGAUUUCACUUGG